rnacentral:rRNA from 1 species
GUUGGGGGGUAUAACCAAGAAGAAUGUCCCACCCCCUUAUGUCAAUUCUCACGUUGUUGACCUCGCGAACGAACGAAUGAGCGAGCGAGCGAGGGGUCGCCCCACAUUCGUGKGGGGUGGCUUCCCUCCUC